UAGAGUCUUAGCCUGUUCAGGCUGCUAUACAAAAUACUCUACACUAAAUGGUUUGCAAACACAGUGGUUUAGUUUUUACAGCACGUGAGGCUGGAAAGUCUAAGAUCACACCGCGAACAUAUUUGGUAUCUGGUAAAUGCCCACUUCCUAGUUCACAGGUGACCACCUUCUCACUGGGUCCUCACAUGGUGGAAUGGGAAAGGGAGCUCUCUUUUUUAAGGGCAUGAAUCCCGUUCAUGUGGGCACCGCCCUCAUGACCUAAUUAUUUCCUAAAGGUCUUACCUCCUAACAUCAUCACGUUGGGGAUUAGCUUUCAACAUAUGCAUUUUGGAAGGACAUAAACUUUCAGUCUAUAGGUCUAGUGAAAUUCUUAUUUUUUUUCAAAUAUAUUCUUGAGCUACUGUAAAGCCUGGACCUCAUAAUUCCAUUAUCUAUCCCAUAUCUGCAUUUGUCAUCUAUUUUCUCUAUACAUCAGAUCUCAGAUUUUUGUGUUCUCUCCUCUGUCCUUAACUUCUCUCCAUGAUCUUGGCUCUUCAGUUCCUGGGCUCCCAUUUUUCUAUCCCCAGCCCUAUGAGACUGGAAAACUCUUUUCUACCUAUUCAUGCCCAUGUUUUCCUACGCGUCUCAGCCUUUACGUCUAUGCUGCUUGGGAAGGGCAGACAGCUCACGGGAAAAGAGAUAUAAAAAGGAGUCUCAUCUCACUGAAUGUCUCUUUCUCUUGGAAUCUUGGCUCCUUAAGUCUGGCUGUUCUGAUAUUUCUCCAAAACUUUCAAGCAGAUUUUAAAAAAGUAUUUUGUCAAGCUUGUCAAGUUGUUUUUUGGGCGGGAAACUGAUCUACACUAGACUGAAAUAGGCAGCAUUAUUUACCUCCAGUGUUCCUGGCAAAGUCACAUGACUUACUAGCUACAGAACAUCUGGAGUUGUGCAACAGUCCAAAAGCCCUUUUAGCUUCAGGGCAAAGGCAAGAAAAGCCAGCAAGAAAAGCCUGGUCAGCUGUUCUUCCAAGUCAGCCAUAAGCAAAGCUUAGAGAAAAUCAAAGCAGGUCUUGACUAUUUCAAACCCCCUAGAAAAAACAUACGCUUGAUAAAGUCUGCUCUAAGGAGCAGCUGUGAUCUAUGCAUGGGAAUUUCACAACCUCUGAAUUUUCAGAAUAUUUUUUGUCUGAUGGCUAUACUACAGAAAUACAAUAAAACAUGAGGCAAUAGCCCCUCACCUAUGGAGAGAAGUGGAGGCUGAUACGAUUAUUCUAUCAACUUGCUCUACAUCUGUGCUAUUAGUUGAAAUAUCUUAAUAAUAAAAUACCCUGCCUCUCUCCCAGAUGCAUACACUGCCCCAAAACUCUUCGAAAUUCAUGUGUAAAUUUAAAUAAAUGGUACAUCAAGAGAAAUACCACAAACACUAAUUUGAAAAGAUACAGGCACCCCAAUGUUCACAGCAGCAGUAUUUAUAAAAGCCAAGAUGUGGAAGCAUCACAAGUGCCCAUCAACAGAUGAAUGGAUAAAGAAGAUGUGCUUCAUAUAUGCACAAUGGAAUAUUUCCCAGCCGUAAAAAGAAUGAAAUUCUGCUAUUUACAGCAAUGUGGAUGGAUCUACUGUAUAAUAUACUCAGUGAAAUAAGACAGAGAAAAACAAAUGGUGUAUGAUAUCAUUUAUAUGUGGGAUAUGAAAAAAUUAUAGAAAUGAAUGUGUAGGUAAAACAAAAACAGACUCACAGAUAUAGAAAACAAACUUACAGUUACCAAAGGGGAGAGAGAAAGGGGAGAGGGACAAAUUAGGGAUAUGAGAUUAACAGAUACGCACUACUAUAUAUAAAGUAGAUAGACAACAAGGAUAUUUUGUAUAGCACAGGGAAUUUUAGUCAUUAUCUUGUAAUAACUUAUAAUGGAGUAUAAUUUUCAAAAAUACUGAAUCACUAUUCUGUACACCUGGAACUAAUAUAAUAUUGUGAAUCAAUUAUACUUCAAUGAAAAAAAGAGAGAAAUACCACAAAUGUGCGUUUCAACUUUAAUUGGUCUAGAAUACUGCAAGAAUCACUUUUUAAAUUCUGAGGUUUCAGGGCUUUUUUUUUUUUAAUAAAAUGGAAUUUGAAUGACUAAAAAUGUAUAAUUAACAAAAUAGUUGAUUAAUUACUGUAAUAAAUCAGAGUAAUAGAAAAUAAGUUUAAUAAAGACAAAUAUGGUUCACUCAUUUUCCUUCCGUUAGAAUGAAUUCCAUCUCUUAUUACCUUAAAUAAAUAUAUUCUAACAUCUAGAUUUUUUUUUUUGUUUGGCUGGAUUCUUGAGGAUAACCUCAAAAUCCUUAGAAAAAGAAAAUAAACAGCAAAAACAAAAUUUAAAACACUGUUAACCUUUUAUCCAUCAAAUAUAGUUUGAAAUAAAGAUUUACCAACAUUUCAGUGUCCACUGUUUACAUAAAAACUGUACUAGAAUGCAUUUCUGCCCAGGUAAUUUGAGUCUUUCUUUUUAAAAGUCAUCUUAUUUUAAUUGUGGUAGAGGAUUUUACUAUUUAAACACUCCUGAAAUAAAUGCACAAGGAAAAAGAAUUUCUUUGUUAAAAUCAGCUCUUCCUUUUCAUUUAUGUUUUUUUUUUCCAAGUUUGGAAUAUCCAUUAAUAAAAUUAAAAAAAAUAAAUCUGAGCUAUUUUUGAGCAAGUAUAAAUUAUAAGUAAUUUUGACACCCUAUUCAAGAAAAUUGAAUUAUAUUUGAGGUACUACGACAGAUUUUGAAAACACAGAGCCUUUGACAUUAAUAAAUGCAUAUUUACCUAAUUUAACAUUUAUGGGUUGGUUGUCAAGAGAGCUACCUUCUAGCAGGGACAUCUGUCUCUCAGUGGUCUCAAGAGACCACCUUCAAUACUCAAUAUUUUUCCCUUACAGGUGGCAGUAAUGGGAAUUCAUUUUUAGUCAUAAGGUUAAACAUAGUCCUAUGAGUUCUGUAAGUUCCCAUUCUAUUUAUUUGCUUUCCUUUGGUAGUUGUCUAAAGCCAGACCCCUGCAGGUUUUAUUUUGCUCAGAAAUGUUUAAGCCAGACUGCCAAACACCUCUUCCUGCAGCUUUUGAAAAACCAUUUCUCAGAUGUAUAGGAAUUCUUAUUUGUCAGAAAUCUGCAUGAAUCUAAAAUUAAACACAACAACAGCAAUUCAUGUUGAAAAGAAUUUAUAAAGAAGGAAACCAUGGCAACGGAAUCAUUUAUUUUUAAAUCGCACCAAUCCUUAUCUCCACCUUCAACUCCAAACUAAGCACAUUUAACCCAUAGCUUUUUCCAUGCUGCUUUAUUCCCAUUGUAAUUCAACAAGCGUCAAAAAUAGCCAUAGGAAUUGUCAUAUUUAUAUUACGAAGGACAGUGCUAGCCAGGCUUCUCCGUGUUUGCUCACUCACAUUAUCCUGCAAAUGGCCUUGGAGGAACUUGCAUGGUUGUUAAGGGGAAGCUCAGGUAAUGCAUCCUUCAGGAUCAACACCUCUGUUAAUGCCAAGGACAGGCUCUCUAGUGGGAAGAUUAGAGUCCCGAUCUAAUUACUCAAGGAUUCCACAUCUUAUCAGAGUUGAGCUGACCACGAUGGGCAAGGGCAGAUGUAACUGCAGCAAAUUCCAACACAAUUUCCCUUGACUCAUAGGGACCAUGCCUCUGCAUGGUAUCUAGCCAGCUCUGAUUUUGCUAUACCAUUGCCUGUAAUAGCACUGUCCAACGUUACAUCAGGCCAGGAGGACCUACAGUGUAUGUGCUUUCUUUAAGCAACAGAUUACAAACUCUAGGCAAAGAAUCUUGUUAAAAAGUCUUAAGAGUGCUCAUCAGAAAUUGUCAGUGCUUGAUACCACUGGAAAACAUAAGCAUACUUUCCUAUGAAUAAUUUCAGAGGCAACACACUUUCCAGACCGGGAGGUAUUUGAAAAUCUACUAGCCCCUUUUAAUAAAUAUCAGCUGAUACAGGAUUUGGUAUUAGGAAUGUGUCUUUUCUAAUUCCUUUGUCUACACUGAUUUCUGGUAGUUCUGCUACAUGAAGAGCUUAGGCUGCCCGAAGAUAAGGGUUCAUUCCUUAUUGAUUCAGUUGAGCUAUUCACCCUAGAAGAGCCCUGAGAGAAAAUGCAGACAUUCGUUUUAAAGAUCAAAGCCGUGGGUAAUAGAAAUAGGCACAGGGUUAUAUUUGAAGCCAUGAAGGGCAUUAACCCAAUAAGCCAAUUGAAUCACAUGGAAAAUUGAUCUUAUAUUUUCUGAAAUAAAUCAACAAUCUGAGGGUUAAAAGGAUGCAGGCCCACUAUCUGUGAUCCACAGUCAGAGUUCAAUCAGAGCCUGCAGGAAGGCUUUGUCUCAUGAUACACUCCAAACAACAAGAGGAAUGCAGAGGCACCAGCCCCUUAUCCUUCAUUCUAACUUGCACCUUAUUUAGCCUACUUGUUUCUGGGGCCCAUUUACCAGGCUUUCCCUCCAUCAGGUUGGUCUUUAGGUCAAUUUGCCUGGCUUUGUUUCACUAAAGGCUUUCUGGGUAUGAAUGAACCAAAGGUUAUCAGGUAUAUUUGCACAAAAGUUUGGCAAAUUCUCACAGAGAUACUCAAUGAAAAGAAUGAACCUUUACCAAUGGCAUGAAGUGCUUGGGUUUUUCUGAAGUAAGGAAAAUAAGAAAAAACAUUGUUCAGAAUUAUUUCUUUGAAAUCAGACAAAGCCCAAGUAUAUGGUUUUUCAGCUUCAGUACAGAGAAACAAAACCUUUCUCUUUGGAGGGAUUAUGAGCAGAAAAGCAUGAAUUUUAUGCAGUCAUCUAUUUUCCGCUGCAGCUACUCUAUAUCUGUGAUUGCUUCUUUGUCUCCAAUACUUUCCAUUUUUAGUAGUAGCUCUGAGAAUUUAUUCAGCAAAUAUUUAUUUGGCUCCUACAAAGUCUGAGCCACUGCCCAUGAUAAAUGGCAGGUGUAGAGUCGGGCUGCAGAAGCACAGAAACACGAGGGAAUCCAGGUGUAAAUAAGGUCUAGAAUAGCUAUCUCUCACCAUCCCAGAGAGACACGCAAAAAGAGAGGGGCUUAUUCAG
rnacentral:lncRNA from 1 species